GGGUAUCUAUCUGGGAGUGGAAUUGCUGGGUCAUGUGGUAAUUCUAUAUUUAACUUUUUGAGGAACUGCCAAACUGUUUUCCACAGCAGUUGAAUCAUUGACCUUAGCCCACCAGCAAGUAGGAUUCCAAUUUCUCCACAUCCUUGCCAACACUUGUUAUUUUCCUUUUUUUGGUUGUAGCCAUUCUAUUGGGUGUCAAGUGAUACUUCAUUGUGGUUUUGACUUGCAUCUUCCUAGCCUUGAAUUGGAAUCGACAGCAACAGGCAAGCCCUGGGCGAUCUGAGGGGAAGAAAGACAAUAGAUGUUACGUCAGAGGUGGAAAGGAGAAGCCUUGCCUUGUCCAAUCCAAGGAGGUGCCAACACUUAACAUGCUCAACUGCUAACUGAAAGGUUGGAAGUUCGAGUCCACCUAGAGCUGACUAGGAAGACCUGGCAAUCUACUUCCAAAAAUCGGCCACUGAAAAUCCCAUGGAGUACAGUUCCACUCUGAGAGACAUGGAGUUGCCAUGAGUCAGAAUCAGCUUGAAGGUGAUUGGUUUGGUUAAUGGGUGAGAAGCACAUCUGGGGACUUUUCAACUCCUAGGAAUGAGUGUGGAUAUAACCUAUGAGGCUUGGGGCAUCAGAGACCAAGAUACCAGGGUAGUGGCAUAAAUUAGGUGAAAGGAAUCAGUGCUUUGUUCAGACAGGCAUUUUUGGUUUAGACCAAUCACCUCCUUGUGUGUGGAAGGUGAUGCCUCCCUUCUGGGUAAAGUAGGAGACGUCUAAUGUACAGAGCUGAAAUGCUCUGCGUAAUGAGGGGAAAGAUUUGUGUUUAUACUGGCUGCCUGGGAGAAAGUGGAGGACAAGCAUGGACAUGAGGAGAGGGCAGAGAUGUGAGAAGAGAUUAGGAACAUCGAAGGAGGCCUAGGAGCCAAAGGAGAAAUGCCAGUCAGAAAUUCCCUUGAAGACAGAGACGUAAAAUAUCCAAUUUUAAGUUGUUUGCCAGGCUGUGAUGUACCACCUCUUCCUUUCUCUUUCUUUAUACCGUUAGUGAAAGUGCUACCUGCUAUAGGUGCUUGGAGCCUUGGUGGAGGAGCAAUGGUUAUGUGCUCAGCUGCUAACCAAAAGGUUGGCCGUUUGAACCUACCUAGCAGUUCCAUGGGAGAAACAUCUGGCAAUCUGUUUCCAUAAAGAUUAUAGCCUAGGACACCCGAUGGGGCAGUUCUACUCUGUCUCAUGGGGUGGCUAUGAGUUGGAAUCAACUCAGUGGCAUCUAACUGCAACAGGUACUUGGGGGUUGAUGGUACUGUGGGAAAUUAAAGGAAAAAGGGAGGUGAGCCACAGUAGGGUCAUCAUGGCAAAGAAGAGAAUAAUCACAAUGGGGAGUGGGAGUGAGAAGUGACCAUGGCCCUGGGAAUCUUCCCAAGUCUUGAGAGGACCACUGGUCCUCCCAAUAUGUAGAAGGGUAAAAUCAGUUUAAAACAUUAAAACAAAACAAAACAAAACAAAACAAAACAUAAGAAGGCUGACAACUGGGAAACAUCCAGGCUGCAAACACUUGGGUUACAAAAGUAAUUUGUAAACCUGGAUGGAUUCCUCAUAUAACUCCAUGAACCUCAAACAUCACCCUGUCCAGUUCUCCCCUGGUUUGUUCUCUGUAGCUCCAAUCAAAUGAAUGUACAUUCUAAGUGUUCAGCUAUUUAGAAAUCUAGAUAAGGUUUGCUUAAUCUGAAAGGCCUACCACCUGCCUGUCAGUUUAUUGUACUGUGGUGGCUUGUCUGUUGCUAUGAUGUUGUAAGCUAUACCACUAGUAUUUCAAAUACCAGCCAAGUCACCCAUGGUGGACAGGUUUCAGCAGAGCUUCCAGACUAAGACUAGGAAGAAAGGCCUGGCAACCUACUUCUGAAAAUCAGCCAGUGAAAACCCUAUGGACCACAACAGAAUACUGUCUGACAUAGUGGUGGAAGAUUAGUCCCCUAGGUUGGAAAGCACUGAAAAUACAUAGUGGCUGCAACAACAGACUUGAGCAUACCAGUAAUUGUGGAGACAGCAGAGGACAGGGAGACGUUUUAUUCUGCUGUAUGUGGGGUCGCCAUGAGUUGAAGUUGGCUCCAUGGCAACAAACAAUAACAACGAUCUGAAAGGAAAGACCAGGGCUCAUGUCUCAAUCCCACCUUCUGAGACUAAACAAAACACACAGGCUUUUGGAAUUCCCUAUCAGCUCAAAUUGUGAUUCGUGCAUUUUUUAUUUUGUGAUGUCCUUCGUAGUUGAAGGUGCUAUGGAUCUGCUCAUGCCCUCUCUCUUUCAGUCCCCUUUCUUCUCUCUCUUUGAGUGUGGACGAAGAAUUCCCCAUGGGACUCCUUAACUUUUGAUCUAAAGAAAAAACCAGCGUAGUAUUUCUCUAGAUGUAUUCCUUCAAAGGGUCAAAUUAACUGGGGGUUUGUGGCAUUAAAACUGUACUUUGAUGAAAGACAAAGCUAAAAUGGCCAUAUAAAUGACGUAAAAAAAAUGAACUGACAUUUUGGUGAUGCUGAAAUUUGACUAAACAUAUUUACAAAGAGAGAAUUUUUUUUAAAAUCAUGCUUUAAGUGAAAGUUUAUAAACCAAGUCAGUCUCUCAUACGAAAACUUAUACACACCUUGCUAUAUACUCCUAGUUGCUCUCCCUCUAAUGAGACAGCACACUCUUUCCCUCCACUUUCUGUUUUCAUGUCCAUUCGGCCAGCUUCUGACCCCUUCUGCCCUCUCAUCUCCUCUCCAGACAGGAGCUGCCCACAUAAUCUCAUGUGUCUACUUGAACCAAGAUGCUCACUCAUCACCAGUAUAAUUUUCUAUCCCAUAACCCACCCCAGUAGUCCAGUCCAAUCCCUGUCUGAAGUGUUGGCUUUGGGAAUGGUUCCUAUCUUGGGCUAACAUAAGGUCUGUGGACCAUGACCUCUGGGGUCCUUCUAGUCUCAGUUAGACCAUUAAGUCUGGUCUUUUUACAAGAAUUUGGGGUCUACAUCCCACUAUGAGGAGAGAAAUAUUUUAAAGGUCAAAGACUGUCUACAGCUCAAGACAAAAAUUCUCAACGAAAUGUCUUGUAUCAUUUCCAGUUUAGCUCUCUGUUUAUCACUGCAGGACCCAGGAAUUUACUGAAAGGUUGGCAGUUCGAGUCCACCCAGAGGCACCUCAGAAGAAAGGCCCGCUGACUUACUUCCUGAAGAUCACAGCCAUUGAAAGCCUUAUGGAGCACAGUUCUAUUGGGGUUGCUGUGAGUUGGAACUAACUUGACUGUGACUGGUUUGAUUUUUUGGUUUUAGCUUCUGGAAAAGACCUCAAAGUAAAGGACUAUGAUACUGUGUAACCCAAACGUCAAACAAAUUGUGUGGCUUAAAAGAGAGUUCUGAGGAUGAAUUAGAGCAGGGAUGGAUUACCCAAUGAGCAAGGUACGCACAGGCUCACUUGUGCUUACUUACUCAUCAGUAGCUCACAACUUCACCCGUUUUUGUGUACCCGUUUUGUAUUUUUUUCAAACCUGAGUGAAAUUGUGCACUACAGAUGAGUAAGUAAACACCAGUAAGCCUGAGUGUACCUUGCUUACAGGUUCCUCUGCCCCUGAAUUAGAGCCUUGGAGCACUGAUAUGUAGGUAUUAUGUGCCAAAUGUCAGGUGCCUUGUAAUAUUUUCCUGUUCCCGGCAAUAUUAACGAAAAGUGCCCAGGUCAUUAGGAUGAAGAAGAUUUUUAAAAGUGAUUGAGUUAUAUCAUGGGGCUGUCAGGCAGUGACAGCCACAUAAAAUCAGAGACUUCAGAAAAAUUAUUCAGUUAAGCGUUUGAUAGCGUUUCGUAUCACAUUCAUAAUUUUUUUUUACCAACUUUGCAUUCUUUCUGUAUCUACCUUACUUUGAACUUACUUAAUAAUCUAUUUAAAUUGAUUCAUUAUAGAGGAAGCUUCAUAUUACUCAAUAAAUAAAAAUCCAUUUGCCAUAAAUAGAAGAUAACUACAAAAAUAGGUACACGGCAAAAACUUUAUUAAAUUUUUGCUCAAGGUUCUUACUGAAGACCGUACCUGAGAUCCACUCUCUCUCUGUUAUAAAGAGAGGUUGGCAAGAGUUAGAAAGGUGUUAAAGACAGGCUAGCACCAUACCGAAUCUCUUUCAUUGCAUUACUUAGGAGACAUGAUCAGAAAGAGAACUGUAAAAGAAAUAACUUUGUCACUAGGUGACCUGACAUUAUUUAAAAAUUCUACCACCAAAAUUUCAGCCAAAAAAUCAUCUUGAGUCCCUCGAGGAGUAGAAACAAAGGGUAAAACAAAACAAAACAAAACAAAACCAGUUGCUGUCUCGUCCAUUCCAGUUGCCCCAUGUGUGUCAGAGUAGAACUGUGUUCUGGGGGGGUUUUCGAUUGUUGAUUUUUCAAAAGUAGAUUGCCAGGCCUUUUUUCCAGGGUACCUCUGGAUGGACCUGAACCUCCAACCUUUUGGUGUGCAGCUGAGCACUUAACUAUUUGCACCACCCAAAGGACUCCCCUCCAGGAGUCUACUUCCAUUUAUUUAGUUGAAUUUGUUUAUUUUAAAAGAAUCUAAAGCCAGAGAAGCUACGGGGCUCACCCAAGAUCACACAGGUAGUCCUUAGAGGAGGACUACUGAAUCUGGACUGGUGCUGGAACAGGUUUGGGCUCAUCGAAUGUGCUAGAAGUGAUGCUGUAUAACUGAAGGCUGGACCUUAACAGCUCUGCAGCUUCUGCUUUCAUGUGCUUGGAACGUUUCCUCUUGGAAUCCAGCAGCCAUGUAAAGUUCAACUACUCUACAGAGGAGAGGCCACGUGGAGAGAGGCCUGAGCUGUGCUGGAUAUCUCAGCCCCGGCCUCCGUCCGCCAUCUUGGAUGUUUCAAGCCAGGAAGUUUUGAGGCGAUGUGUUACACAGCAGUCACCUGCCCACCCACCCAUGUGCCAUGGAGUUGAUUCUGACUCAUAGAACUGAAACUUGAGUUGUAGAUGAGCCAAGAACACAUUCUACGUCUCACUCAUGGUUUCCAGUAUUCUACUCGCACCCACAUCCUGUAUAUGUAAAACUAGGAGGCAGGCUUGGCCAGCUAACACGAGGCAGGCUGGGUAGUAUCCACUGAAGGUGGGACAUUUCAUGGAAUCUUUCAGAUAGUCUCCUUGGCUCUGUCCCACUACCCCAGGAGACUGCAAAAAACAUGUGACACCGGAUAUCCUCCUUCAGUUUCCCUUCAUCAGCAAACCCCUGAUGGCUCCUUGAAGGAGGACGAGAUACGAUUCUGAAGCUAAAGGGAGGCUGAAAACUCAUCAGGUGAUCUGAAUUAGCAUCAGACAAGCAAAACCUCUGUGCAGACUCUCUUCAGGAAGUCUGUGCAUACUUACCUGAAGACAUCAGCAAAACUGCCUGGAGAAGAGCUACUUCAGUGUCGUCCAGGUUGAAAGAAGAAAGGGACAUGCCCAGGUCAAAGAUGGCGUCCGACACCACCCCAAGACCCCCGUUUUUCAGCUGGCCCCGCGUCACUGCCAUUUCCCCGUUCAGGGUUAAAGUCUCGCUUUCUGGGUCGUAGCGCACAGCAGCGCGAAGGGACAUGAUCUCCAUGCAGCAUCCUUUGAGGAGGAUUAUCUGGUCUUCACAUGGCAGCUGAAAAGAAUCAGCCACAUCAGCAAAGAACAAGGGGACAAGUGGCAGGAACAACAUGCAGUAUCUUAAAAGCAACAGAAAUAACAUUCUGUCAUCAGCGUUAGUCCUGGAUUCUUUGAGACUGUCACUUUUCCUUUCCUACUUGGCUGCAGACUUUCAGCAACUACCUUUAGUACUCCAAGUUGAUUGGAACCUUCAUCUGUUUUAAUCUCAAUAGUUGGCAUUUCUUUCAUGACAGAUAUAGAUCUCUAACUGAUAUUGCAGUCAUGUGUGAAACUGUGUUAUAACCCGGUAGUUUGGGCUUUGUAUUAUAACCCCUGACUGAUAGAUAACUCCUUGAAGGUAGGGUUUAUGUUAAACUCAUCUCUGUUUUCUCUUACACAUGGCAUCAUGCCUGCUAGACCAAAAAACCCCAAAACCAAACCCAUUGUCAUCAAGUAGAUUCAGCCUCAUAGCUACCCUAUAGGACAAAGUAGAACUACCCCAUAAAAUUUCCAAGGAGCAGCUGGUGUAUUUGAACUUCUGACCUUUUGGUUAGCAGCUGAAUGCUUAACCACUGUGUGUAGAUAGCUGUUCAAUUAUACAGGGAGCCCUAGUGGCACAGUGGUUAAAACGAUCAACUGCUAACUGGCAGGACAGUGUUUCGAAACCAACAAAGGCUCCGUGGGAGAAAGACAUAGCAGUUGGCUUUCAUAGAGAUUUACAGGCUUGGUAGCCCUAUGGGGUCACUGAGUCAAAAUCAACUUGAAGGCAGUGGGUUGAGUUCAAUUAAAUGUUGGCUAUUUUGUAUUUCAUUAGGAAAAAAACUCAAAAGGUAUCAGUUUGCUCCUUUAAGACUUUUAUAAUUUGAUGUAAAAAAAUCUUAAAAUGCCAAACGUCUUACAGAGCCAUUUUUGAUCUUUAUAUUGGGUGGAUUUUAUCCAUGUUGACAUCUCCCUCUCAUGAAUACCUAGGGUUUAUUUUGAGAUGCUGUCAUUCUGUGAUUCUCUGAUUACAAGAGAGAUACCUAGUAAAUUAAGUAAUUCUGGUGAAUUUCUGAGAAGAACAUAACCCUAGGAGCCAGGAGGCCUGAGUUCUAGUUUUGUCCCUGCCUGAAAUUCACUGGGGACCUUGGGCAAGGUUUUAACACCUCUGGGCUACGAGCAUCUGUAAGUGACCUUCUAGUUCUAUGCCUUUUUUAGAAACUCAAGGAAAAGCUUGUUUCAAAAAACAAAGAGAAGCACAGUUCCCGGCUAACCAGUAGAGUCAGUUGUUGACUUGGAGCUAUAAGACAGAAAUAUUGGUGUGAAAAAUACUAAAUAGUAGAUAAUUGGGUUUAAUCUCAUUUGGUCACCGUGUUAAUUAGGGUUUGUCGAUGAUGUGAUAAUGAGAUGACAUUAAUAAUAAAAUAUAAAAAAGGACUUGCUAAGCAAAAUAAUAAAAACUCAAAAUUUUAGUUUUUGGAGGGGAAGAAUGUUUACAAAUGUUAUUAUCAAAAUAAUUUCAAAGGCCAUUAGUUAAUGGGUGCUUUUUUUUUUUUUUAUAGUGAAUCCACCUAAUUUAAUCUUGAUAGCAAUAGAAUGAGAUAGAUAUUCUAAUUCCAAUUUUACUUACAGAUGUGGAAACCCAGGCACGGAAAGCUUAAAUAACAUGUUAGAGGUCACAUGAAUGUUUUGUAGAUGAGGCUGGGAUUUGAAGCUAGGUCUGUCAAAAUCCAAAGUCAAGAGAUUAUAAGAACAGACUCUUGAAGUUCUUGAAGUAUGGCUAAGUUUCCAUAAACAAUGAAUAUGUAAUCAAACCAAACCCCUUGCGGCCUUGUCGACUCUGACUCAUAGCGACCUUAUAGGACACAGUAGAACUGCUCCAUAGGGUUUCCAAGAAGCGGCUGGUGGAUUUGAAGUGCCAACCCUGUGGUUAGCAGCCAAGCCCUUAACCACUAUGCCACCAGGGCUCUGUUAAAUUUAGGAUAUUACAUAAAACUGAAAGUAAUACUACUGAAUUACAUUUAAAAUUCCAUGUAUCUCAUACAUUUCACCAAGCCAGCCUAGCCACCUCACCAUUUCAUUCCAAGCUGUUUAGCUUUUCUACAGAAUGAAAGUCAUUCAUCUCUGGUUCUGGAAUCCACAUGUACAAUUUCUCUCCUUCCCACAAUUAAAAAAAAAAAACAAAAAAAAAAAACCUCUGUGAUUUGCUUUUGUUUAGAUUCUAAUUUGUACUCCUCAGUAACCACCUUGGGUUCCCAAGUGCAUAGUAGAAAAUAGAAAACUCAAGCUUGGGUAGGUCUGCUAUAGGUAUUGGGGAACUGGCUGAAGAAGGUAGGCAGAGAAUGGCUUUAAUACCAAGGGCAGUGGUUCUCCGAGUUCGUCUCCACCAGAGUCACCUGAGGGCUUGUUGAACACUGAUCUCUAGGCCCCACCCCCGAGUUUACAUUCAGUAAGUCUGGGGUGGGGUCACAGACUUUGCCUUUCUCACAAGUUCCCAGGUGAUGCUGCUGGUUCCUCAGGCCCCACUCUUGAGAACCACUGGCAUAGAAUAGCAAAGAACAGUUACUAAUCAGAUCCAGCUAUUUAUUGUCACAAAGUGCCCGUCACUUGGGCAGGCUCCACUUUUGUAGACUAGUCUGACUAUAGAUAAAGUAGAACUUUUUUUUUUUAAACCUAUGAACUGUUCGUGAUUAGAUCAAAUGUAAAGAAAAGCUGAAUAAGUAUUUGCAAAGGCAUCACCGGUGGUUUAAAAACCAUGCUAUGUGCUGUUUGCCUUCAAGAGAUGCAAAUCCCUAGUGAGAUUUGUUUCAACAUGUGGGCAAAUAAUCUCUCAGUCACCUGAAGAAAUGCUUUCAUUGUGAGAAUGCUCAGACAAGGGCCUGAGAGGCAGGGACACUCCACAGACUCUUCCUGUCUUCUUAAGAAAGCGUCGCUCGGUUUGACUAGCAAAGACGAAGGUGCCGUGCCCUCUGGGAUACCUGUGCUGGGGUCUCAGAGAGCUGCUGUUACAGGCAAGCACCUGUGAGUGGUUCUCUGUAUUUUUGGCAGCUCCACCAGCAAUGUGUUUAGAGCCUUGCAAAACCCCAGGUGUCACACAAACCUUGCUAGGUUGGUUGACAUGGGCCUUAGCAGAACCAUCACCAGGAGCACAGUUUGAACAGCAGAGGCAUCAAACUGGCUAGCAGAAGCUCCUGGCUCCCAAGACCAGCUGAGAUCUCUAACUCAUUUUCACAAGUAGCUCAGAUCAUUUCCUCUUUUGAGUUCCAAAGAAAGUGUAAAAGGCUAAAGGUCCCCUGGAGGCCACAAAUGGCAGAUCCACAUGCAUUUCUGCUGUAAAAAUGGCCCCAAACUUGUUGGAAACAAAACAAUAUUUUCCACAGCAAUUUGGAGACUACAGAAUAUCAGGGUUGAAAGAAAGAUUGAAUCAUGAAAACGAAGCAGGCUUGGAUUCCUGAGGAAAAUGUGAAGAGAUAAGCUUGCCUGUCACACAUGGGCUUGGAAAUUUCCAUGCCGACCCCUCACCCUCACCACAGAAGUGUCGACAGCACCGUGUCUAAGUUACUGGAGGUGGUUUCUUUUCCUUAGAAAAAACAGCUGUUAUCUCUCUUUAAUGGUUGGUUUACCUGAGUUUUACAUUUAAAAAAGCAAACAUUUUUGGUGGGUAUUCAAAGGGGAACAUGUGAGUGGUAGGCUGGCUCAAGUUGUAGGGGUAGCCAACUCAAUAGAAUCCCUCUUCAGACACCAAGGACUUGGGCUGAGGGACACAGCCCAGAAAAAGAGGGCUAAGAACAGUCCAGGAAAACAAAGCCAAGCAACCAAAGAUAAAAGAAAGGUGACACCCACAGUUGGCAAGAGUGAGAGAAAGGGAGCACUCUCGGUCGCAGCUGUUGAGAGUGUACAACCUUUCUUAUGGGCAGUUUGGCAACACAUAGAAAGUUGUGAAAGGUGCACAUACUGUGGUCUUUCAGUUCACUUCUAGGAUUUACCUUUAGAAACAGUCAGUGAUGAGAGUAGGGUGUGGCCACCAGAGUAUUCGUUGCAGCAUGCUUAUAUUAGUGAAAAAUUGGAAAUGAACUAAAGAUCCAAUAAAAAUAAAUAACCUAAAUUAUGGUUGAUCUAGUCUUUGGAAUGGUGACCCACGUGUGUCACAGCAGAACUGUGCUCCAUAGGGUUUUCUUUUCUUUUUAAAAUAAUAUUUACUGUGUUUUUGACGGAAGUUUAUACAGCAAAUUAGGUUCCCAUUUCACAAUUUCCACACAAAUUUUUCAGUGGCAUCGGUUACAUUCAUAGGGUUUUAAGUGGCUGAUUUUUCAGAAGUAGCUAGCCAAGCCUUUCUUCCAAGGUGCCUCUGAGUGGACUUGAACCUCCAAUAUUCUGGUUAGCAGCCAAGUUUGUUAACUGUUUGCAAUAUCGAAAGACUCCAUGAGUCAGAUUUGACUUGGCAGCAACUGGUUUCCUUUUGGUUUUUGUUCUUUGGAAUGGAGUCCCUGGGCGGUAAAAAUGGUUAACAUGCUUGGCUGCUAUCUGAAAAACUGGCACCGCUGAAGAGAGUCCUAGUGAUCUACUUACAACAAACCAGUUACUCAGGGAACAUCUAGCUCAACUGGCAUAAAAUAUUGUAUAAAGAAAAUGUUCUACAUUCUACUUUGGUGAGUAGUGUCUGGGGUCUUAAAAGCUUGUGAGCAGCUGUCAAAGAUAUUCCGCUGGUCUCACUCAUUCUGGAGAAAGGGAGAAUGAAGAAAAUCAAAGACACAAGGGAGAGGUUAGUCCAAAGGACUAAUGGACCACAACUACUACAGCCUCCAUCAGACUGAAUCCAGCACAACUAGGUGGUGCCUGGCUAUCACCACUGACUGCUCUGACAGGGACCACAAUAGAGGGUCCCAGAUAGAGCUGGAGAAAAAUGUAGAACAAAAUUCUAACUCAUGAAAAAAAAAAAAAAAGACAGACUUACUG